GCGAUACACUAAGGAGGGAGCUGAAGACUGGCGGCGGCGCGAUUGGAGAGCCCCCGUGUCGCCAGUUUCUGCUUGCUAGCACAUAAAAAGCUCAUCUAUAUGUCGUCUUCAUAGAUGUACAUGAUACAGUUAAGUAGUUUCAGUACUACACAUACACACACUAUGUAUUGAUGUGAUGCCAUUGUGUUGGUAGUGGUACUCUAUUGUAGACCAAGUGUGUCAAAAGUUCAAAACCCCAUUGAGAGGCUCAACAAGGCACGCACAGGAAAAGGGUCAUCUAUAUAUCUGCUUCAUGAAUACAUACAUACAUUGAAAAUGAUACAGUUGGGUAGUUUCUACAUAUACACUAACACACUUAUAUAAGUACUAUGUAUACACUGUAUAUUGACAUGAUGCCAUCCUGCCUGCAUAUGUACAUCUUGUCCUGUACUACCACGGUCUCAUCUCUAUCUACUAGGGUAGUUUAUCGUAGGCUAGCUGUAUCAAAACUUGGUCCCUAGCUGCUUAGAAUAUUGGGUGACUAGAGCUCGUCGUCUGAGCUUUGUCUAAUUUCCUGGACCCUUUGUCGCAACCUUCUCCUGUGGUCUUGGAUUUUCCACAGCCCAUGGCCAAGGACCACCGCGGAGUAUAUCCCGUGGGUGAUCAUCGGUGCCAGGAUGUUGCCCGUCUGCAUCCAUGUAUCAUCAGUCAGUUAGAGCAUCCAUCGUGAAGAGGACAUGUUGACGAUGCCUCAUCCGGUUAAUGGGCCAAUAAAUCUAUGCAAAUUAGCUGGAGAAGUGACUAAAAUGGUUACCUGGAUCCAUUCGAAGCCGAGGUAGAAAGCCAGGAUGCCUUCCAGGAGUGGUGAGUAUAUCUUCCUCAUCUGCCUCCGUUCGUACCAAGCUGCAAAUUCAAAAGAAUCGUGUUAAUCACUACAUCAUCUUCAUCAUAUCUGCUUUCACACAUCUUAUACACUGUUCGCAGGAUAUACUUUAUAAGACAUAAGAGAGUACAGAGACAGACGAGAGUAAUACAGACUUUAUGUAAGACAUAAGAGAGCCAGGACAUCUUAUACACUAUUUGCAGGAUAUGUAAGACAUAAGAGAGUAAUACAGACAGAAACACACCUGAAAACAGUUUCUUCAUGUUCUGUCGCCCGGCGUGCGAGCGCAUGACUGGUGUCACCACAUAGGUAGGGUCUGAAAGUAAAAG
rnacentral:lncRNA from 1 species